CUGCAGCAUACAUUCUCUACAUACAGAUAUCUACACGGCAUGUGAGCUGAUGCCCCAGCGAAAGCUCUUAGUGCUGUGAAGGGCAGCCAAAGCGCUAAAUGACCCCCACCCCCCAAACCCCAAUCCAUCCGCCCCCCCACUUGCCUCACUGUGAGGCCGGGCCGGCGAGAAGCAGCGCAAACCGGCAGCAGCCAGUGCUGAGAGCUACAUUACCCCCUCCCUUCGCCUCCCUUCUUCCUCUGACUUCUUCCUCCCAUAUGUGCAUACACACACAUACACAUCUCAGGAUUAGUAUACUUAUGAGGGCCGGCGAUUGUCUAUAUUCGCUCUGUGUAAUCUGACCCUCAACCAAACCAAGAAGGAGUUUGUUUUCAUGUAACCGUCCACGUGAUCCUCUCAGAAAUGUCAAAAGUAAUGUGUUUUCCAAUGCCUUCAUAAAAGAAACCUAGAAAACUGAAUAACUUUUACUUUUUUCUACUAAAACAUAAAAGAUCUGAAUUUGUGGGAAAGCUCUGACCCGGUUUGUUGAGUGGGUAAAGAGAUAAUACACAAAGUUCUUGUCAAGUCUGUGUUUACCGACAACAUUAUCGAUCAUCUCAGCGAGCUCAGCUUGUUCAAAGUUUACCAAAACAAUGAGCAAUAAUAUGAACAGGAGACAGUUUUAUUUAUUGUAGUUGCACUUUUCAUGAUUCAUAAUGUUGUUGUGACUGAGUCAGAUCCUUAUCAGGAUGACAGGAACAUUUAGCAAUAUCUAGUGGUUAAAAACGCUCCUCUGCUCACUCCUCUCAUUGAUGUUGCAAUGAUGACUUUUGAGGACAAGAAGAUCCUGCAGUACAUAAAUAUGUUCUUCAUUUGUCCAGUUUUAUCAUGAAAGACAUCCCUCAAUUCAGAUGCUUUUGCACACAGCAGCCACUCUCUUAUUCUUCAUCACAUGCAGAUUCAUAACAUUCAAAAAUGCAUAUGACCUUUACUAGUUUAGGGGGGCUCACUCCUUUUGCAGAUAUAAAAGCCUCAUUCUAAGUCAACAAAACCAAAAGAGUUAUUAUACUGAGAUGAUUGCAUACAAAUCCAAACAAAUGUAACAAACUAUAUUCCAUUUCUAUGAAGUCUGUUCUGCUAAAUGUCUCUAUUACACACUGUACCUUUCAACAGAACAGAAGCGAAUCCCUCCUCACCACAGCAUGCAUUUAAAACCAUGAUCCAAAUCUAAUCCUGACUCUAAUCUCUUGCACCAUUUUUAAUCUAGUUUAAAUAAGUCAAAGCCUUUAUGUUCAAAGUCUGGAGCAACGUGAGUUUAUAAAAAUGUUCCCACUGUAGAAACCCAAACUGGUUCUCACAAAGAGAGAAAAACAACCGUACACACACACACGCAUAAGCACUCACUUCCUCUUCUGCUCCCCAGACUCACUCUGGGCUCCGACUCUCUUGAACCGCAUAUGUUCAGCUGCACAAAGUAGGAUGUGUAGCUGUUUGUGACCAGCGCUUUGAAACGAGAUCAAAAAGUCUGAUAUUUCCCUCUGUUUUCACCGUAAGGAUCUCUUCUUUACUAACAGUUACACAGAUAAAGAUUUAUGACACCUCUGUGGUGCUUUAGUGUCAGAGACGGACUUUUAACCCUUUUUUUUUUUUGAGCACAAUGGCGUCCCUAAAUUUUAGUGUGAGAAUGUGUUUCUCUCCGGGCAAACACAGAGCUCUGCCAGACUGGUCCGAGUUUACAAGGCCUUUUCCUGUCGUUGGGGUAUUGUGCUGUGCCAAGUUCCCACUCAUUCGAGGACACUUUCACCCUGACUCAUUUUCUGGAGUUUCAUAUGGAAAAUGUGAGAAACACCCUUAGAUAAGCUCAGAUGCUGUCACUGUACAUUUACACACAGUCGAUUGAGGUGUCAAAGAGAGCCAAAACGCAUCUCUAUAAAAGUGAGGGAGUGUAGUGAAAUCCGUUUUUUGUUACUUCAGCAUUUGCGAUUGACAUUUCCCCUGUCCUCAUCCAUCUGUUCCUCUUAUCCUGUUCCCUUUUCUCUUCCUAGUUCAGCUGGUCAAGGCAGAUAGCCACAGUAUCCACCUAUGAGUCUGGUCCUGCUCGAGGUUUCUGCCAGUGAAAACUAGGUGUGUAAUGAGACAUUGCGGUUGUUAUUCAGAACUCAUUUAAACAGAUUUUAGUGCUCAGCCUUAUACAGAGCUUCUCCUUUUCCAUUCCCUUCAUCUGCAUGAUUGAUUUUAUGGUUUUUUUAUUGCCGAUGCAAACACAAAUUGUUUUUAUAAACCCAAUAAUGCAAUUAAGCAAAUCUGCUUUUUAUUGUUUUCUUUCCAAGGGUGACAAAUUUUCAUCACAUGUAUAAGCUAUCCUGCUAUUUUAAUUUUUAACAGAUACUGAUCCUUAAAUAUGGGAAGUAGCCAGCGCUGAUAGAGGCGUGUCCAGACUUGUUUGACAGAUGCAAAAGUGCCAAGAAGUAAGUUGAAUGUAUAGUAUUUAUUUAUCAUUUCUGUCUUGGCUAUUAGCAAAAAAAGUGUUGUGCAGGCGUUUAAUGGUAUGUCAAAGAAUAACUUAUUCAUUCUAAAAAGUAGCACAGCAAAGGGGCAACAUAUAACUCUUCUAAGCUUAAUUCUUAAAGCAUUUGAAAAACAAGUUUUAUGACCAAAGCAAGAAUUAAAGUACUAACAGAAAGUUUGGUCUCAAAUGGUUGAUCUUGACCAAAGUCCAGUCCUUGACAGGGUAUGUAGCUGUAGGAUUUUUGGGGUGGCCAGUGAGAGAGUAGGGGUUAGGGGUUCAUGCCACCCUUCUCCACCUGUCUGGACACGCCCCUGGAUAUCAAGCACCUCCUCCAGUAUCACGCUUAAUUUAAAUACCAAUUAUUUACCUUUUGCAUGAUUUUUGAGGGGGUUCACACAGCUUGUAUGGGGGUGAUUUAUUGAGGAGUAGUUUCCUCUUUAUCAGAGACUGGUACUGUUAUCAGACUCUAAACAAAACUAAAAAAUACCGUACAAACAAACAACUCACAGAUGGUAAGUAUCAAUCACUCCACUGUAAGUAAAGGUUUUCCUCACAUCAGGAAGACAGAGCACAUACAGAGAGCAAACAUUUUCUUCACAGUGAUAAGUACAGGGUAGAGUCAGAGAGAAAAACAAACGCUGAAGUCAGCACGUUGUCAUGAACAGCACAGAAGUGUAUGUAUACAGUUAAAAGGCAGCAGGAGGCGGGGUGUGUACUGUCAUACAUAAAAGCUGAUCAGUAACAUGUCGCGAGCCAAAAAACACAGGAAAUACAGGAAACACUCUCCUCGCACCAUUGAGGACGUGCAUCACAGCAGGUUUGUGUGUUCAGGAGCGUGUGUCGGCCUGCUGCGUGCUUGCGUGUGCGUCUGAUUUUAUCUCCACCUGCAUAAAACACACCUACAGCUGAUUGUUUGAGAGAAUGUUCAACAGCAACUAUAUCAUCUAAUAAGACCUCAAAACAAAGGAACUGAAUCAGACUUUGUUGUAUUUUUUCAGGUUGAGGUUAAGGAUAAUUACCCCAGAGUCAUGUGCAGUAGACUCGUCACACUCAGUGACACUGAGAAAAUGCUGAUCAUACUCGAUGGGUUUUCUUGGUUAUUGUGAUUUCAAAGAGUUUAUGGAAAUUUAUUUGUGUCUGCAGUGACACAUUUAACUCAAUUUGUUGGCAAAACCACAAAUCAAAGACAAUGACCCACUUAUUUUCUUCGACGCAAUGUUAAUUUGAGCCUAAAAAUACCCUGAGGUUCGUCCGAAGCGUGGAAAGAAGCUCAUACUCAUAUAACAGCCUUUCACCUCUGAGGUCAUUAAAGUGCCCUGUUUAUUUCAGCUAUCAGCUCUCUCUUUCCAGACUGGAUAAAUAUAGUCCUCUGGAACAGAAGCCCCUCAGACAAAUAGAGGUUGCUGAGUUAGUCGUGCUGACCGCUCACCCUGUGACCCCUCACCCAAAGGCUGGACAUCCUGGAGUUUCCCCUCUGCAAAGUCACAAACAAGCUUUCUGCCCUCUCACCUGGAUUCCCCCCCAGAAAAACAGCAUGUAAGAAAUGAGGCUCCAGCGGUAUGGGGCAGAGGCUGCCAGCCUUUGGGACAUUACAUGAUCUGUUUGUGAAGUUAAUCACAGGGAUUUUGAUUACAUUUUUGCGUAUGCUCAGCCUUGCUCUCUUCUGUGCAUUCCUGCAUGUUUUCCCAUAUGUUUAUGCCUCUGCAUGUUUACCAGAAGGAUUCAUGCAUGUUUUCAAAUACACCAGGGAUCCUUGAGAAGAUCGCUUUGACUGUUGCUAUAAAUUAAAACUGUUAAACUGCGAAGGGAAAUUUUGAGCUAACACAAUGCUACCAUUAGAAAAUAUACCAACCUCACUCUUUUUGGUUUAUUGUCACAUCAGUCAAGUCCACACUUGUAAACUACAGAUGUUUUUAUCUUGUUAUAAUUGUCUUUCACUUUGCUAACAUUAGAUUUUUACUUUUUCACUGAACUCAUUUAACUCAUGAUCUGUCCUCUGUUCACCUCAGAUUCAGAUUUAUACUUUCCCACUGAACUCAUGCAACUUAAUGAGUGUUUUCAUUUACUCACAGGUUGUUUUCAUUUAUAAUCAGAACAGUGUGAGGCCUAGUUUGAUAAGCAGGAACCCGA